GACGAACGCUGGCGGCGUGCUUAACACAUGCAAGUCGAACGGAGAGGGCCUGCUUUUGCUGGGUGCUCGAGUGUCGCACGGGUGUGUAACACGUGUGUGCCCUCCCCUUCGCUUUCGGAUAAAUUCAGUGAACUGGGCCUCAUACCGGAUAUGCGCUCCUGCUGCAUGGUGGGUGUUGGAAAGUUUCGGCGGUUGGGGAUGUGCUCGCGGCUUAUCAGCUUGUUGGUGGGGUAGUGGCUUACCAAGGCUUUGACGGGUAGCCGGCCUGAGAGGGUGACCGGCCACAGUGGGACUGAGAUACGGCCCAGACUCCUACGGGAGGCAGCAGUGGGGAAUAUUGCACAAUGGGCGGAAGCCUGAUGCAGCAACGCCGCGUGCGGGAUGACGGCCUUCGGGUUGUAAACCGCUUUCGCCUGUGACGAAGCGUGAGUGACGGUAAUGGGUAAAGAAGCACCGGCUAACUACGUG
rnacentral:rRNA from 1 species